rnacentral:rRNA from 1 species
UAACUUUGAGCGGUGGAUCACUCGGCUCGUGCGUCGAUGAAGAGCGCAG